rnacentral:rRNA from 1 species
CCCGCUGAACUUAAGCAUAUCAAUAAGCGGAGGAAAAGAAACUAACAAGGAUUCCCCUAGUAACUGCGAGUGAAGAGGGAAAAGCUCAAAUUUAAAAUCUGGCGUGCCUCUGGUCGUCCGAGUUGUAGUCUGGAGAAGCGUUUUCCGUGUUGGACCGUGUACAAGUCCCUUGGAACAGGGCGUCAUAGAGGGUGAGAAUCCCGUCUUUGACACGGACUACCAAUGCUCUGUGAUGCGCUCUCAAAGAGUCGAGUUGUUUGGGAAUGCAGCUCAAAAUGGGUGGUAAAUUCCAUCUAAAGCUAAAUAUAGGCGAGAGACCGAUAGCGAACAAGUACCGUGAGGGAAAGAUGAAAAGCACUUUGGAAAGAGAGUUAAACAGUACGUGAAAUUGCUGAAAGGGAAACGCUUGAAGUCAGUCACGUCUGCCAGGACUCAGCCUCGCUUCUGCUUGGUGUACUUUCUGGUUUGAUGGGCCAACAUCAAUUUUGACCGUUGGAGAAAGGCUUUGGGAAUGUGGCACCUUUGGGUGUGUUAUAGCCCUUUGCUGUAUACAACGGUUGGGAUUGAGGACCGCAGCACGCCUUUACGGCCGGGGUUCGCCCACGUACGUGCUUAGGAUGUUGGCAUAAUGGCUUUAAGCGACCCGUCUUGAAACACGG